AACACACAGGGAAAACACACAGGGAAAACAAACAGGCAAAAACAACCCAGGAAAACACACAGGGGAAACACACAGGGAAACACACAGGGGAAACACACAGAGGUGCCUCUACUCACAGCACAACCCACAAAGGUAUUCUAUUGGAGAAUACGGAUAUGUUCCCCAGCAAGAAAACCAAAAACCUGUUGCUCAAAUAGAAGGGGGAACUAACAAAGAGUCACUGACAACAACCAGAACUAAACAGAUGGGGUUUUAGGAGGGGUUCUGAAAGACACUCAUGGGGGAUUCCACUGAAAGUUGACUAGCAACAACUGGGACCUAAAAGACACACAUCCUGAGACCCACUAAAUCUGCCCACUAAGAGGCAAACAAAAGAGAAACCCACCCCAAAGUUAGACAGGAAGUUGACCAAAGAAUGGAGCAAAAUGAAAACAGGGAAGAUCAGAUAAAGGAAUGUUUGUCUAGAAAUGAAAAUAGGGAGAGACAACUAAAGGAGUUAACCCUUCACAUCUCAGUAACACAUAUCGACUAACGAGGUGACUAACCAGCACAUGAGUAACACAUACCGACUAACAAGGUGACCAACCAGCACAGGAGUAACACAUACUGACUAACGAGAUGACCAACCAGCACAGGAGUAACACAUACUGACUAACGAGGUGACCAACCAGCACAUGAGUAACACAUACCGAAUAAUGAGGUGACCAACCAGCACAGGAGUAACACAUACCGACUAACGAGGUGACCAACCAGCACAUGAGUAACACAUACCGACUAACGAGGUGACCAACCAGCACAGAAGUAACACAUACUGACUAACGAGGUGACCAACCAGCACAGGAGUUACACAUACUGACUAACGAGGUGACCAACCAGCACAGGAGUUACACAUACCGACUAACGAGGUGACCAACCAGCACAGGAGUUACACAUACUGACUAACGAGGUGACCAACCAGCACAGGAGUAACACAGACUGACUAACGAGAUGACCAACCAGCACAGGAGUAACACAUACUGACUAACGAGGUGACCAACCAGCACAUGAGUAACACAUACCGACUAAUGAGGUGACCAACCAGCACAGGAGUAACACAUACCGACUAACGAGGUGACCAACCAGCACAGAAGUAACACAUACUGACUAACGAGGUGACCAACCAGCACAGGAGUUACACAUACUGACUAACGAGGUGACCAACCAGCACAGGAGUUACACAUACCGACUAACGAGGUGACCAACCAGCACAGGAGUUACACAUACUGACUAACGAGGUGACCAACCAGCACAGGAGUUACACAUACUGACUAACGAGGUGACCAACCAGCACAGGAGUUACACAUACCGACUAACGAGGUGACCAACCAGCACAGGAGUAACACAUACUGACUAACGAGCUGACCAACCAGCACAGGAGUUACACAUACUGACUAAUGAGGUGACCAACCAGCACAGGAGUUACACAUACCGACUAACGAGGUGACCAACCAGCACAUGAGUAACACAUACUGACUAACGAGGUGACCAACCAGCACAGAAGUAACACAUACUGACUAACGAGGUGACCAAC